CUGGAGACUAAGAAAAUAGAGUUAUUAAAAUCAAGCUGACUCUGCUUUUAGCUUCCUUAAUGAAAAGUUAGAAUAGGUCUUGCUUACAAAAUAAAUUCAAGACCUACUUAUCUACCAACAGCA